AGUGAACGCUGGCGGCAGGCCUAAUACAUGCAAGUCGAACGGCAGCACAGCAGAGCUUGCUCUGUGGGUGGCGAGUGGCGGACGGGUGAGAAAUACGUGGGAAUCUGCCCAGUCGUGGGGAUAACGUAGGGAAACUUACGCUAAUACCGCAUGCGCCCUUCGGGGAAAGCCGGGGACCUUCGGGCCUGGCGCGAUUGGAUGAGCCCACGUCGGAUUAGCUAGUUGGCGGGGUAAAGGCCCACCAAGGCGACGAUCCGUAGCUGGUCUGAGAGGAUGAUCAGCCACACUGGAACUGAGACACGGUCCAGACUCCUACGGGAGGCAGCAGUAGGGAAUAUUGGACAAUGGGCGCAAGCCUGAUCCAGCCAUGCCGCGUGAGUGAAGAAGGCCCUCGGGUUGUAAAGCUCUUUGUCCGGAAAGAAAGCGCCGGGUUAAUACCCUGGUGUCCUGACGGUACCGGAAGAAUAAGCACCGGCUAACUUCGUGCCAGCAGCCGCGGUAAU
rnacentral:rRNA from 1 species